UGUAUUGCUAUCUUCGUUAAGACCGAUUUCCGAUUUAAACCAUCGUAGUGAGGACAUUUCUCCAUCGUGAGGACAAUAUUUCGCGGGUCCUCGCUUCUUAAAAGCAGAAGCCAGACCAGAGUAAGGAAAGGAAUAGAGAAAAUCAUGAUGAAAGACAGACAACAGGGUCAACAUCGCACCGGCUCAAAGUUACCCAUCUUGCUGAACUACAAACUGAAGCCUCUGCAUCAGAGAACAGCGGAUGGAGUUUGAACUGUUUAUGUACGAGUUACAUCACAACAUGCAUCCCACCAUCUACUUGUGUACGUGACAGCUGCCUGGACUUUCUGCAUUUAAGGGCCGUGAUUUCAACGUCUUCUGUGUCAGUUUCUUGAAGCUUCCAGGCUGACAGACUGAACCCUAUUCGGCCGAAUAAUAGACUCUGACUCUGUUUGCUGACUGUUGUUGGUUGUUCAUUUUAAUUUGACUCAAUACUCUGUAAUAAAUUCUUUAA